GUGGGGAAUUUUGGACAAUGGGCGCAAGCCUGAUCCAGCCAUGCCGCGUGCAGGAUGAAGGCCUUCGGGUUGUAAACUGCUUUUGUACGGAACGAAACGGCUCUUUCUAAUAAAGAGGGCUAAUGACGGUACCGUAAGAAUAAGCACCGGCUAACUACGUGCCAGCAGCCGCGGUAAUACGUAGGGUGCGAGCGUUAAUCGGAAUUACUGGGCGUAAAGCGUGCGCAGGCGGUGAUGUAAGACAGAUGUGAAAUCCCCGGGCUCAACCUGGGAACUGCAUUUGUGACUGCAUCGCUGGAGUGCGGCAGAGGGGGAUGGAAUUCCGCGUGUAGCAGUGAAAUGCGUAGAUAUGCGGAGGAACACCGAUGGCGAAGGCAAUCCCCUGGGCCUGCACUGACGCUCAUGCACGAAAGCGUGGGGAGCAAACAGGAUUAGAAACCCUAGUAGUCC
rnacentral:rRNA from 1 species